UAGUAGAUGUGUCUAUGAUUUUGAUGAUGAUGGUGAAUUCCACCAUGCAUGGGAAACAAUGAUUCAGAAAUAUGAUCUUACAAAUAAUACAUGGUUGCAACAAUUAUUCAAUGAAAGAGAAAAGUGGGCAUUAGUGUAUGGUAAAAAAAUUAUUUUGUGCUGAUAUGAAAAGCACACAACAUUACGAAAGUUUGAACAAGGAGUUAAAGAGAUACUUACAUCCAGGGCAAAAUAUUCUCAGAUUUUUUGAACACUUCGAAUGAUUGGUAGAUGAUAGAAGGAACGCCAAAUUAGAAGCAAAUUUCAAAAUGACUCAAAGUUCACCAACUGUGUUGUUUCCUAUUAAUAUCAUGGAGCAUGCAGCUAGUGUCUACACGACAACCAUUUUUAAAUUAUUCUAGUCUAAGUAUACCAACAGUCUUGGUCAAACUGUUGAAAAAUUAGAAGAGUCUGGGAUGGUGAUUAAAUACCAAGUACGUGAAAGUAAAAAACAUAGACUCCACAUCGUUACCGUGAACUCAAUGGAUGAGUUUUUUGAAUGCAUUUGCAGAAAGUUUGAAUUUAUAGGUAUUUUAUGUUCCCAUAUAUUAAAAGCAACAAAUCAUACCCUCAUAAGACUGCCACUGAAAUACAUCUUAAAGAGGUGGACCAUAGAAGCUGCUUCAUAUUCCUUUCCUUCGGUCAUUAGAGGAUGUGGCUUGGAUGGAGACUCUAAGAAACUACGUUCCCAUCGUUAUAAUAGCUUAAUUUCCAACUUUGUUAAGUUGUCAUCAAUGGGUUGUGAAAGUUAAGAGUCAUUUCAAUGUGCUACUAAAUAUUUUGAGUUGAUGCAUCAAGAAUUGCAAAAAAUAUUUAAAGAAAAAGAAAAAUUAAAAGGAAUAUAAUCCACUGAAGAUUGUUGCAAUAAUAACGAGAGUUAUAGACAGGAUGAUUGUGUAAUUUUAAAUGUUGACAAUGCACAGUUGAAAGACAAAAUUGUUGAAAUAGAAAAAGAAGCUCAUGAAACAAGAAUGGGGAAUCUUAAUGACUUUAAUAAAGAAGAUCGUGGAAUUAAAAGAAAAGGAGCUGAAAUUGAUGAAGGUAAAGAAGAAGCUUAUAAAAUCAAGAGAAAAGAGCAAUGUCGUGGUAGACGUAGAUUUAAGAAUUGUUUGGAAAAGGAAAAAACAAAGAAAUGCCAAAAGAAAGUGCAGAAAAGUGAACCAAUGCUAUACCCUACUAAUGAAGAUCUCAGAGAUGCGUCAAAUCCAAUCCAGCAUCGUACAUGUCUCAUAAAGGUACGUUGUAACUAUCUUGAUUUAAUAUGUAGAAAUUUAAAUAUUUUAAAAUCAAUGAAAAAAAUUAAAUGAUAAAUUUAUAUUUAUUUGUGAACUUGAUUUUCAUGUUGUUACUUGUAUCAAAGAUACAACGGUGUUUGUUUGGAUCCUGUGACUACGUACUUUCAAUCAGGGUUAUCUCAUUCCGUCAUUCAACCACAUCAAUCCGUGCAGGACCAUCUCCAACCCUCGAUUCACUUUCCUAGUAAUUUAAGUUUCACUCAAUUACUUAAGAAUACUACAAAUUACGUAGCAUUCCAACAUCUUGUGGCAGGUUGUAGUAGUAGUUCAAUAAUUGGAAAAGAAGGACAACAACCCUCGUGACUUAUGAAUGUUCUAAGACAAAUUUAUUAUCUAAAUGUCAUUGAUUUUCUACUCCUACUAUCACAAAUGUUUGCUUGUACAGACAGUAGAUUACAAAUUUUGGGCACAUUUGUUCUUCUCGUUAUUUGUUUUAGGUUGCUGUUACUUUUUCCUUAAAUUUGUAGUUUUUGUGGAUGGUAUGUAUUUUUUCCAAAAAUAACUAGUUCAAAAAUUAGAUGAUUAA